UUCCGGUUGAUCCCGCCAGAGGUUACUGCUAUCGGUGUUCGCCUAAGCCAUGCGAGUCAUAUGUAGCAAUACAUGGCGUACUGCUCAGUAACACGUGGAUAACCUGCCCUUGGGACCGGCAUAACCCCGGGAAACUGGGGAUAAUUCCGGAUAACGCAUAUUUGCUGGAAUGCUUUAUGCGUCAAAAGGAUUCGUCUGCCCAAGGAUGGGUCUGCGGCCUAUCAGGUAGUAGUGGGUGUAAUGUACCUACUAGCCAGCGACGGGUACGGGUUGUGAGAGCAAGAGCCCGGAGAUGGAUUCUGAGACAUGAAUCCAGGCCCUACGGGGCGCAGCAGGCGCGAAAACUUUACAAUGCGGGAAACCGUGAUAAGGGGACACCGAGUGCCAGCAUCAUAUGCUGGCUGUCCGGAUGUGUAAAAUACAUCCGUUAGCAAGGGCCGGGCAAGACCGGUGCCAGCCGCCGCGGUAACACCGGCGGCCCGAGUGGUGAUCGUGAUUAUUGGGUCUAAAGGGUCCGUAGCCGGUUUGGUCAGUCCUCCGGGAAAUCUGAUAGCUUAACUAUUAGGCUUUCGGGGGAUACUGCCAGACUUGGAACCGGGAGAGGUAAGAGGUACUACAGGGGUAGGAGUGAAAUCUUGUAAUCCCUGUGGGACCACCUGUGGCGAAGGCGUCUUACCAGAACGGGUUCGACGGUGAGGGACGAAAGCUGGGGGCACGAACCGGAUUAGAUACCCGGGUAGUCCCAGCCGUAAACGAUGCUCGCUAGGUGUCAGGCAUGGCGCGACCGUGUCUGGUGCCGCAGGGAAGCCGUGAAGCGAGCCACCUGGGAAGUACGGCCGCAAGGCUGAAACUUAAAGGAAUUGGCGGGGGAGCACAACAACGGGUGGAGCCUGCGGUUUAAUUGGAGUCAACGCCGGG
rnacentral:rRNA from 1 species